rnacentral:misc_RNA from 1 species
UUGAAUGUUUCUUGAUGGGUUGUAGCUGGCCACUUGUGGCAUGUGCACACCUGUCUUGGCUCUAUUCAUCCACCUGUGCACCUCUUGUAGUCUUGCUUUUGAGGUAAAUGGGAAUGUGACUUGCAUUGUCGAGUUGUAGACCCAUUCUCAAAGACUAUGUCUUUUGAUAUAUUAAACCAGUAGUCUGUCAUUGAAUGUAUGUAUUCACUGAGCCCUUGUGGCCAAUGAAAUUUCUAUA